UGUUCUCAGCUUUUCAAAUGGUAUUUGGUUCUUUGCAGAAAUUUAUCUUGGGGAUGCUCACAAACUUUGGAAGCAUGGCAUUAGAUCGAAUUCAUAAUACUCUCAAGAUGUUCUGCAUAGCCGAUCCUCCUUAUGACAAAACUCUCCAACAGCUGCAAAGUUUCUUAACGGGUCUAGUUUCUGAAGAGAAGUUGGAACUAAGAGAUGGAAUGUAUUUUUUGAAAAAGUAGUCAACUAACAGAAUUAGGGCCCUACUAAUUUUAGUAAAAAUUAUAAAGGUUGGCAAAAUGUAUUAUCCUCGUGUAACUCUUUUUAUUUUCUUUCUGAUUCGUUUGAGGGGAAAGGCGAGAGUUGAAGUACAACUCUUUAUGCCUCUCUUCGUGUUGUACGAGAUAUCAUGGAAAAAAAGCCCAUAGGUUUGAUCCUGCAGAACUGAAAAUUAAGAGAACAAAUGUGAAGCCUGUGUCAGAGCA